UCCCUGAAGAACUAGUGGUUAGGCCUCAGCGCUCUCACCACCACGGCCCGAGUUCGAUUCCCGGCCAGGGAA